AUUGAACGCUGGCGGCAGGCCUAACACAUGCAAGUCGAGCGAGCGGCGGACGGGUGAGUAAUGUAUGGGGAUCUGCCCGAUGGAGGGGGAUAACUACUGGAAACGGUGGCUAAUACCGCAUACUAUCGGAUGAACCCAUAUGGGAUUAGCUAGUAGGUGGGGUAACGGCUCACCUAGGCGACGAUCUCUAGCUGGUCUGAGAGGAUGACCGGCCGCACGGGAGCUGAGACAGGGACCAGACUCCUACGGGAGGGAGCAGUGGGGAAUAUUGCGCAAUGGGCGCAAGCCUGAUGCAGCCAUGCCGCGUGUAUGAAGAAGGCCUUAGGGUUGUAAAGUACUUUCAGCGGGGAGGCGUUACCCGCAGAAGAAGCACCGGCUAACUCCGUGCCAGCAGCCGCGGUAAUAC
rnacentral:rRNA from 1 species